GGAUAUGAGGGUGAUCUGGCUGUGACAUCUGUCACCCCAUUGAUUGCCAGGGUUGAUUCGGCUGAUCUGGCUGGCUACGUGGGUGUCCCCCUCCUCCCUCACCGAUCCAUGUGCAUCCCUCCCGAAGCUGCACUCUCGGUCGAAGAAGAAGAUGAUCUUUCCCCCCAGGAGAGGACCAGUCUUCAGUCAAGGGUAUACGAGUAGCUGCGCUUCCCUGCUAGAACUCCAAACAAGCUCUCAAGUACAAACUGACCGAGUGUGAGUGUGUGUGUGUGUGUGUGUGUGUGUGUGUGUGUGAUGAAAUCACUGUCAC
rnacentral:snRNA from 1 species